rnacentral:rRNA from 1 species
GUCGACGGAAGUCGUUAUGAUGAUUUCAACACUGACAGAGAACUUGUUCAAAGAAAGUAGAGAUUGACUUAUAACAAUGGCUUUAGUGGCGGACUGGUGAGUAACACGUGAGCAACCUGCCUAUCAGAGGGGAAUAACAGUGAGAAAUCAUUGCUAAUACCGCAUAUGCCAUAAAUAUCACAUGAUGAAAGUGGGAAAGGAGUAAUCCGCUGAUAGAUGGGCUCGCGUCUGAUUAGAUAGUUGGUGGGGUAACGGCCUACCAAGUCGACGAUCAGUAGCCGGACUGAGAGGUUGAACGGCCACAUUGGGACUGAGAUACGGCCCAGACUCCUACGGGAGGCAGCAGUCGGGAAUAUUGCGCAAUGGAGGAAACUCUGACGCAGUGACGCCGCGUAUAGGAAGAAGGUUUUCGGAUUGUAAACUAUUGUCGUUAGGGAAGAUACAAGACAGUACCUAAGGAGGAAGCUCCGGCUAACUACGUGCCAGCAGCCGCGGUAAUACGUAGGGAGCAAGCGUUAUCCGGAUUUAUUGGGUGUAAAGGGUGCGUAGACGGGAAAGCAAGUUAGUUGUGAAAUCCCUCGGCUUAACUGAGGAACUGCAACUAAAACUACUUUUCUUGAGUGUUGGAGAGGAAAGUGAAAUUCCUAGUGUAGCGGUGAAAUGCGUAGAUAUUAGGAGGAACAC